CGCAAGACCUCGCGCGUCUGGAGCGGCUGAUGGCAGAUUAGGUAGUUGGUGGGAUAAAAGCCUACCAAGCCAACGAUCUGUAGCUGGUCUGAGAGGAUGAUCAGCCACACUGGGACUGAGACACGGCCCAGACUCCUACGGGAGGCAGCAGUGGGGAAUUUUGGACAAUGGGCGAAAGCCUGAUCCAGCCAUUCCGCGUGCAGGAUGAAGGCCCUCGGGUUGUAAACUGCUUUUGUACAGAACGAAAAAGCUCUGGCUAAUACCUGGAGUCCAUGACGGUACUGUAAGAAUAAGCACCGGCUAACUACGUGCCAGCAGCCGCGGUAAUACGUAGGGUGCAAGCGUUAAUCGGAAUUACUGGGCGUAAAGCGUGCGCAGGCGGUUUUGUAAGACAGAGGUGAAAUCCCCGGGCUCAACCUGGGAACUGCCUUUGUGACUGCAAGGCUGGAGUGCGGCAGGAGGGGGAUGGAAUUCCGCGUGUAGCAGUGAAAUGACGUAGAUAUGGAC
rnacentral:rRNA from 1 species